rnacentral:rRNA from 1 species
GGCACCUACCUCGACCACCAUCAUCACAAGCUGGCCAUUGGUACGGGCACUUACCUGGACCACCAUCGGGCAUGUGCCAUGCCUUGAUCAGCAUCGAUAGAAGAUGGUCCCUAGUACGUGCGAUUACCUUGAGCGCCAUCGGCACAAGUCAGCCCUUAGUGUGGGCACUUACCUCGAACACCAUCGACACAUGCUGGGCCUUAGUACGGGCGAUUGCCUCAAUCACCAUUAGUAGAAAAUGGCCCAUGGUGUGGGCACUUACCUCAAACACCAUCGACACAUACUGGACCUUAGUAUGAGUGGUUGCCUCGAACACCAUCGACAUGUGCUGGGCCUUGGUGCAGGCACAUACCUCGAGCUGGUGCAGGUGGUUACCUUGACCACCAUUGACACGUGCUGGGCCUUGGUGUAGGCACAUACCUUGACCACCAUUGGUAGAAGAUGGCCCCUGGUCUGAAUAGUUACCUUGAAAACCAUCGGCACAUGCUGGGCUUUGGUAAGGGCAGUUGCUUUGAUCACUAUCAGUAGAAGAUGGCCCCUGGUGCAGCGGUUGCCUCGAACACCAUCGGCACAUGCUGGGCCUUGGUUUAGGUGGUUGCCUCGAACACCAUUGGCAUGUGCGAUGCCUCAAUCAGCAUCGAUAGAGUAUAGGCCCUGGUAUUGUUACUUUAAAGAAAUUAGAGUGCUCAAAGUAGGCCUACGCUUGUAUACAUUAGCAUGGGAUAACAUCAUAAGAUUUUGGUCCUAUUGUGUUGGCCUUCAAGAUCGGAGUAAUGAUUAACAGGGAUAGUCAGGGGCAUUCAUAUUCAUAGUCAGAGGUGAUAUUCUUGGAUUUAUGAAAAAUGAAUAACUGCGAAAGCAUUUGCCAAGGAUGUUUUCAUUAAUCAAGAAUGAAAGUUGAGGGCUCGAAGACGAUCAGAUACCAUCCUAGUCUCAACCAUAAACUAUGCCAACCAGGGAUCGACGGAUGUCACUUUUAGGACUCCAUCGGUACCUUAUGAGAAAUCAAAAUCUUUAGGUUCCAAGGGGAGUAUAGUCGCAAGGCUGAAACUUAAAGGAAUUGAGGGAAGGGCACCACCAGGAAUGGAGCCUGUGGCUUAAUUUGACUCAACACGGGGAAACUUACUAGGUCCAGACAUAGUAAGGAUUGACAAACUGAGAGCUCUUUCUUGAUUCUAUGGGUGGUGGUGCCUGGCCGUUCUUAGUUGGUGAAGCAAUUUGUCUAGUUAAUUCUGUUAACGAACGAGACCUCAGCCUGUUAACUAGCUACGCAGAGGUGAUUGUUCAUGGCUAGCUUCUUAGAUGGACUAUAGCCGCUUAGGCCAAGAAAGUUUGAGGCAAUAACAGGUUUAUGAUGCCCUUAGAUGUUCUAGGCCGCACGCGUGCUACACUGAUGUAUUCAAAGAGUCUAUAGCCUUGGCCGAUAGGUCCGGGUAAUCUUUGAAAUUUCAUCAUGAUGGGGAUAGAUCAUUGUAAUUGUUGGUCUUCAACGAGGAAUUCCUAGUAAACACAAGUCAUCAGCUCACGUUGACUACGUCCCUGCCCUUUGUACACAUCGCCUGUCAUUUCUACCGAUUGAAUGGUCCAGUGAAGUGUUUAGAUUAUGGUGACUUGGAUAGUUUGCCACCCACGACAUUACAAGAAGUCCACUAAACCUUAUCAUUUAGAGGAAGGAGAAGUCGUAACAAGGAUUCUGUAGGUGAACCUAUGAAAG